UACGGAGGGUGCAAGCGUUAUCCGGAUUCACUGGGUUUAAAGGGUGCGUAGGUGGGUUGGUAAGUCAGUGGUGAAAUCCCCCGAGCUUAACUUGGGAACUGCCAUUGAUACUAUCAGUCUUGAAUACCGUGGAGGCUAGCGGAAUAUGUCAUGUAGCGGUGGAAAUGCUUAGAUAUGACAUAGAACACCAAUUGCGAAGGCAGCUGGCUACACGAAUAUUGACACUGAGGCACGAAAGCGUGGGGGAUCAAAACAGG
rnacentral:rRNA from 1 species